rnacentral:antisense_RNA from 1 species
ACGGGAGGAGGGCACCCACCUGGUCGGUGUCACAUGCUGCUUCGGCCCCAGCGUCCCCUCCAGGUCCCGGCGCCGGCCGCAGUCCCCAGAGCCGUCCCCAGCGCAGGCCCGGCCGCCCCACCCGCGGCCCGCCCCUGGCCGCCCGACGGGAGGGAGGGAUCGGGUUCUCCUAGGAAGUUUCAGGUCAUUCAACAUUUAUUCAACCAAAAAUACUAAGUCAGCUCUAUACAAACUAAUGGAAGGAUACAGCUAUGCAAAUACAGAAGAACACUAAACUGUUACAUGACAGAUGUAUGAGCAGAACUGGGAAGAAAGGACCCUGAAAAGUUAGCUUGUUCCAAGUGACCCUCCAAGGGGAAGAGUGCUGGAUUCAGAGCCCACCUCAGGGGAAGACAGGACGCUCUCCAAGAUGGUUUCCCUAGAAGCUACUACCUCUCCCUGGAGGGUGGAGAUAUUUGCUGGUCAAAG